CUAGAGAAAGAGAAGUAGAUUCAAGUCUUGAAUUUGUUUGGUUUUAGUGCUCACACUUAUCGGUUUGUUUAGACGCGAAGAUACAAGCAGCAAGAAGAGAGGGCCUUUAAGUGCGGAACGAAAGAACUGUCUAGAGGUCAGGGCCCUGGGGCUGAAAAGUCUACGGGGUCUGUAGCUCAGUUGGUUAGAGCACCGUCUUGAUAAGGCGGGGGUCGAUGGUUUCGAGCCCAUCCAGACCCCACCAUUGGGUUUGAAGUUGUUGUAAAACACCCUGGGGGGUGUAGCUCAACUGGGAAAAGCACCUGCUUUGCAAGCAGGGGGGUCAUCGGUUCGAAUCCCUUUCCCCCUCCCCAAAUUUUUAAUUGCUGCAAGAAAACGUGAAAUUUUGUAUCCAAGUGGUUUGAAAAAAAUGGUCCUUUUGAAAUAAAAAAAAUUGGA
rnacentral:misc_RNA from 1 species